rnacentral:miRNA from 1 species
UGGCAAUAAGGCAAUCGUUGC